UGAGGAAUAUUGGUCAAUGGGCGGGAGCCUGAACCAGCCAAGCCGCGUGAGGGAAGAAGGCCCUAUGGGUCGUAAACCUCUUUUGUCAGGGAACAAAAGCGAGUAUGUAUACUAGUCUGAGUGUACCUGAAGAAAAACGCAUCGGCUAACUCCGUGCCAGCAGCCGCGGUAAUACGGAGGAUGCGAGCGUUAUCCGGAUUUAUUGGGUUUAAAGGGUGCGUAGGCGGCGGUGCAAGUCAGCGGUAAAAGCCCGGGGCUCAACCCCGGCGAGCCGUUGAAACUGCAGUGCUAGAGAAGGCGAGAGGUACGCGGAAUGCGCAGUGUAGCGGUGAAAUGCUUAGAUAUCACGCAGAACUCCGAUUGCGAAGGCAGCAUACCGGCGCUCAACUGACGCUGAGGCACGAAAGCGUGGGGAUCGAACAGGAUUAGAUACC
rnacentral:rRNA from 1 species